rnacentral:lncRNA from 1 species
GGAAAUAGACCGAAAUCACCAUACCGUCAACAAGGGUUUAUGGAGUACCUUGUAUGUGGUCAGCAUCAUGCUAGGUGUUUCAGGCAUGUCAUAGGAGUGGAGUUAGGUCUUGAAAUAUAUGGCCUAUAAAAUCAUUCUCAUUGGGAAAGAAUUACAGACAAGUCAUCAUCCUUUGAGGAUAAGUUCGAUUAAAAGGGCAUCUGGACUACUGCAAUGUUGUGGAUCCUACCGAGAGUGUGAAAUCACUUGACCCUUGGCAUUAACCUUUGCUGAAUGAAUAGACACUGCUUUCCACAUCGAGGAACAAAGCAGAAGACUAUUGAUUAAACACCACAUUCACUUGAUAUUAAAUACUGGCUGAACUCACUUCUUGCUUCCAGUUCCAAAGGGAGAAGCUCAGAGAGUUGCUGAGUCUCGAGAGAAUGGAUGUUUGUAAUUCAGAGCAAUGUUUUUCCUGCAAAGUACUUUUUUUUCUCCUUUGAUCAAUAACUAGCAGCCAUGAUCAGCCAUGAGUAUGUAUUGUCAAUUCUGACCUGUGUAUUUUAUCACUGAAGGUGAGAGGUCACAGUGCUGUGACUAAUAUUUCAGGUCUAAGCAUGAAUUGUUUCCUGACUUCAAUAUCUGUUUGAAAGAGCGAUUUGUUUUAUUUUAUUUCUUGCCUUAUGAAUCAUUGUUUAGGCAAUUGAUUUGUCUGCAUUAGUAAAAUACACAAUUUUUCUAAAAUUCUUGGGUUUUAUCACUGUUUUUGCAGAUGUUUAAUUUUCUAGACCUUAACAUUAGAAGAAAUAG